CAUAAUAUUAUAUUAUAUAUGAACAUACAUAUAUAAAGUCUAGAAGAAGUACUUAACCAUAUUUUUACUUCUAAUACUAGUUCAUAUUACUGUCAAGGUAAGAGGUCAUAACUUCGUCGUAGAUAAUUUCGUAUACCCGGGAACCAGUAUCAACAACACCAACAAUGUCAGCCUCGAAAUCCAGCUCAGAAUCACUCUUGCCAACAGGUGCUACUAUGGACUGAGUAGGCAAAUGAAAAGUAAAGUCCUCUCUCGGCGAACCAAAAUCAAACUCUACAAGUCGCUUAUCAUUCCCGUCCUGCUUUAUGGUGCAGAAGCUUGGACGAUGUCAACAUCAGAUGAGACGACACUAGGAGUUUUCGAGAGGAAAAUUGUGCGCAAGAUUUAUGGUCCUCAGAACAUUGGCAACGGCGAAUACCGCAGACGAUGGAGAGCGACCUGGUUACACUUGGGAUCUCCAACUGGCGUCGAACUGCGAAGGAAAGAGAGGAGUGGCGCGCUCUCAUCGAUUCGGCUAUAACCGGCUAAACGGUUCAACCCCAAUCACAAGAGUUCACUUAAUUUCCUUGAGAUUUCUCCCAUGUUAACCGAUAUUUUCGAUAUAAAGUCCUUAAAUUUCGGUAGGAAAGCCCUCAACGAAAGUCAAAUGAAAGUUAUAGUCCGAUUUCGACAUCUUUUAAAUGAGAGUUGCUCAUAGAAAGCACUAUUUGCGCUUAGUGUUAUUCCAAAAAAUUCAUUGAUGUCUUCUAUUUAUGAUGAACUUAAGUACUUGACUUGGCCAUACGCAUCCCUAUAUUUCAUACCCAUUUCUUAUGCGUUUUCAUAUGGAAUAAAAUUACGAAUUCAUUCCAAUUUAAGUUCAGUGUAAAUAAAAUAAUAAAAUAUAAACGUAAACAAUGAAAAAUGUUGAAAUACUUACAAAGUUUACUAUUACAGGGUCAACCAGGGACUAAAUUUGGUACGAUCGGAAAACAAAAAGUACCAGUAAUUUUGUAUCACUCAUUUUUUAUUGACACAUCAUUCAUAUGAUACGUGCCAUUUAGCUGCUGUCUGGACAUACGUGGUGUGUUCAAAAAAUAACGGGAAUUGUAAAAUUUCACGGGUUUGUAUUGAGAGUAAUUUAAAUUUUUUAUGUUGAAUUUUCAGUUGAAUGCUACCGCUAAGAUUAUACGUGUUUUUAUGAGCUUGACGAUAUCGGCUCCUUGGGACUUUUUCCUAUUUCCAAAAAUAAAGAGAACCUAUAAAGAGCAAACAUAUGAGCCAAAGGCUAUUCCAAAAAUCGAGUUUGAGAAGUGUUUCGAAUGGAAUGGGUACUAUUUUAAAGGCGACAACGUAGACGUAAUGUAGACGAAUGACAAAUCAUUUUUUCAAACACUGGAAUUAUUGUUAUUUUUCGAACCCACUUCGUAUGGAUACAUAUAAUGAAGAAAGGCAUACCAAGCCCAAGCACCCCACCAAAGAUGCCGUAACUCAAGUAGACUUAAGACUUGAAACUCGCAUUUAGUCCGUUGAUAUUCUAAUCCAGCAAUAGUAACAAAUGUGAGUCAAUAAAAAUGCGUAGAAAAGUAGUAUAAUCCAAAUGUAGACUAUCCAAAAAUGACUAUUUCAAUUUCGAAUUUAAAUUUUAAUUCACUUAUUUUGUAUUUCUCGAAAUUGUUGAGUUUUUUACGAUUCUAUUUAAUGGCAUUUAGUUAUUGACAACUUUGUUGCAAUGCAAAACCGAAUAGAAGUGAUCUAUCUCUAUCACCUGCUGGAGUGUACGUAUGUAUUUUGCAAAUAAAUGAAUAAGUAAAGUCCAUAAAUAAAUUGCAAUUUAGCAUUUUUCUCGCUACUGUAUUCCGCAUAGCGCAGACAACACCUUAUAUAACUAACUUACAACUUCAGAUAAACAAUAAAAAAAAAAAAAAUAUUUUACUUGAAUAAAAGUAUGAGUAAAAGGCAUUGAAGUCCUCAAGGGAAUUUCACUCAACUGAAUAAUGCUAGCAGAAAAAAGCAGAGCUACACUUUUAAUAAUCAUUCGAAACCUUAUUCAAACCAAAUAUGGUGAUGUCACAUUGUCACGUCCUAAAUAUGUUUGUCCUUGUGCUGUGGUGGGCACACCGAGUUAUGCGUUGCAAUGACGUCACCGCCCUACGAGAAGAAAUCGCCAUUCGCUGCGACAGAUACAUACAUAUUGCCGCAGCAGUUCAUGAGGAUUUGUACUAUGUUUGUAUGUGCUACACAUACAAAUGGAAAAAAUUAUACAAAAUACUUUGCAACGUUCAGGUGAUUGCGGUGGCUAAGGCCAUGAUAAUGUGAUCAAUAUUGUUAC